CAGUCGCCGCGGGAAUACAGAGGGUGCGAGCGUUAAUCGGAUUUACUGGGCGUAAAGCGUGCGUAGGCGGCUUUUUAAGUCGGAUGUGAAAUCCCUGAGCUUAACUUAGGAAUUGCAUUCGAUACUGGGAAGCUAGAGUAUGGGAGAGGAUGGUAGAAUUCCAGGUGUAGCGGUGAAAUGCGUAGAGAUCUGGAGGAAUACCGAUGGCGAAGGCAGCCAUCUGGCCUAAUACUGACGCUGAGGUACGAAAGCAUGGGGAGCAAACAGGAUUAGAUACCCCGUGUAGUCCCUGUCUCUUAUA
rnacentral:rRNA from 1 species